GCACUGCUGAUGAGUCCUAAACAGGACGAAACAGAUGUCCAGUAC
rnacentral:hammerhead_ribozyme from 1 species